AAAAAAAUCAAAAACUAACAAACCCAAAAAAAACUCAAAGAGCCGCUGACAGCAGCACACAACUCACACGACACGCCGGUAUGACUAUUGCACCACGCUCUAAAUGAAUGUCGGAGACAGCUAUCGCUCUCUCAUCAGUCAUCUCUGUCACUCCCUAGUCCCUACUCGAAGUGCCGCCGCUCUCUCAUCUCUUUCACUCGACUCACUCACUCCCAACUCCAAGCGCAUGAAACCCAGCGACCAGUGUACAACCACCGUGCGACUCCACUGGGAGCUUCCACUAUCUGUAACGCAACAACAACCAACAGGAUUUUGACAACUAUGAGAGUGAGUUUAGUGCUACCAGGAAGUCUGAAUUGCUCUUUAUAUGGAAGAGCCAAGGUUUGAUCGCAUCAAACAUCAUAAUAUGGAGAUUCUCUAACAUUGGAAGACCAAUUUUGACCGUUAUUUGACACUUGCCAUUAUGGCUCGCGACAUCAUGAGUAUACUAAUAACAUUUGUUGUUCAGAGUUCGCUUUUAGUAUUGGCAGCAAAGUGCUCAAUAAAUAUUGAAGCUCACUUAAACUAGAUAAUGCACAAUCUUUGUUAUGCACUCAGACUUGGCUAUAUAGAUAUGAAAUUAAAGAUGAUGAUGAGAAUGAUGAUGAGCUUCAUGUGCCAUUAACUAAUUCGAGCAUUGUGGAAUCAAGAAACUCUAUUCACACCACCAUCGAUCCAUCGUGAAAUCAACAUGAGCUAGCCAAGAAUAUUUUUAAUUAAAACAAUGCCAAGUUAAAUUUAUAUUAUAUUUUUGUAUUUCGAAUUUUGUGUUUGUGUUUUAGUGUUUAUGACUUUAUGUAUU